rnacentral:tRNA from 1 species
UCCUUGGUAGCUCAGCUGGUAAAGAAUCUGCUUGCAAUGCAGGAGAUCCUGGUUCGAUUCCAGACUCAAGAA